ACCCGGUCCAUCGGUUCAAUUGGCCUUGGGCCACGCCGCUCCAUUUCCCAAUUGGUCGACGGCCGAGUUGCUAUUUAAGCGUCCGAACCGUGUCUUCUCGAGUGUUUUGCCUUCUCAUCAGAGAAGCUGAGCGGAACCAAAGCCCUCCUCGGGCGAUCGCCUCAAGAACCCUUGUGAAGCGCCAAACCCAACCCUCUCCCGUGGUUCCGCCUCGGGAGGAGAUCGAUGGCGGUCUCCGCAAUGCUUCGAGCUCUGAGACGGCACGAUCUGUCGCCGCUGCCCGCUCUGUUCUCUCGCCUCAGAUUCUUAUCUGGCAAUGCAAGCAUGCAGUUGGGUGCUUCUCGUCUUGGUCACAGAGGGGCUAGUUUGGUUAGACCCUUCAGCUCAAAGCCAGCAGGAAAUGAUAUAAUUGGAAUUGAUCUUGGAACUACAAAUUCUUGUGUUGCAGUUAUGGAGGGAAAGAAUGCUAAAGUUAUAGAAAACUCAGAAGGAGAUCGUACCACGCCACCUGUUGUAGCUUUUAAUCAGAAGGGAGAACUACCUGUUGGAACUCCAUCAAAACGUCAGGCAGUGACCAAUCCUACAAACACUCUUUUUGGGACCAAGGGACUGAUAGGCCGUCUCUUUGAUGAUCCUCAGGCACAGAAAGAGAUGAAGAUGGUUCCUUUUAAGAUCGUGAGGGCACCUAAUGGGGAUGCAUGGUUGAAGCCAACGGUCGGCAGUAUUCGCCCAGCCAGAUCGGUGCAUUUGUUUUGACAAAGAUGAAAGAAACUGCUGAAUCUUAUCUUGGGAAGUCCGUGUCUAAGGCAGUUAUCACAGUUCCUGCAUAUUUUAAUGACGCGCAACGUCAGGCUACAAAGGAUGCAGGGAGAAUUUCUGGUGUUGAUGUGCAAAGAAUUAUCAACGAACCAACUGAGCUGCACUUACUGACUGGCUGAACAACAAGGAGGGUCUCAUUGCAGUUUUUGAUCUUGGUGGUGGUAUAUUUGAUGUUUCAAUAUUAGAGAUAUCAAAUGGGGUAUUUGAGGUCAAGGCAACAAAUGGUGACACUUUCUUGGGUGGGGAAGAUUUUGACAACGCAUUGGUAGAAUUCUUGGUUGAUGAGUUCAAGAGAACAGAGGGAAUAGAUCUUUCAAAGGACAGGCUGGCUCUGCAGAGGCUUCGAGAAGCAGCUGAGAAGGUUAAGAUUGAAUUGUCAUCAACAUCUCAGACUGAUAUCAAUCUUCCAUUUAUAACAGCUGAUGCUUCAGGAGCAAAACAUAUGAAUAUCACUCUGACCAGAUCAAAAUUUGAGACUUUGGUUAAUCACUUGAUCGGAAGAACAAUAAAUCCCUGUAAAAGCUGUCUGAAGGAUGCAAGCAUAAGUACCAAGGAUCUUGAUGACGUUCUUGUUGGUGGAAUGACUAGAGUUCCAAAAGUUCAGGAAAUAGUUUUGGAAAUCUUUGGAAAGAUUCCAACCAAGGGAGUAAAUCCAGAUGAAGUUGUUGCAAUGGGUGCUGCUAUCCAGGGUGGUAUUCUCCGUGGAGAUGUUAAAGGGCUGCUCCUCUUAGAUAUCACUCCCUUAUCGCUAGGUAAUGAGACACUUGGUGGUAUCUUUACGAGACUGAUCAACAGGAACACUAUCAUUCCCACGAAGAAGAGUCAGGUAAGGUUCAGUUCAAAUAAUCAAUAAUCAUUUCAUCUUAGUCAACUUGAAGAGACUGACACAGAUUUUUAACUCGCAUUUUCUCUGCUGAAUGUUGUAUACUCUAUAUCAAUGUAUAUUUUUCCUAUAUUUUGGUAAUUCAUUAUUUCGGGUAUUGUGACAGUCUCUGCUAAAGACAAAGCCACUGGAAAGGAGCAGCAAAUCACUAUUCGCUCAUCAGGUGGCCUCUCUGAGGAUGAGAUUGAGACGAUGGUCAAGGAGGCCGAGCUGCAUGCUCAAGAACAGUGCUGACACCACAAUUUACAGUAUUGAAAAGAACUUAAGCGAAUACAAGGAUAAAAUUCCGGCCAAGGUAGCUUCUGACCUACGCAAAGAGAUGGCAGGAGACAAAAUCGACAGCAUCAAGGCCAAGCUUGAUGCAGCAAACAAGGCAGGAAGUUCGGGCGGGUCAUCAUCUUCUGGUGGUUCUCAGGGUGGCGACCGGGUUCCGGAGGCAGACUACGAAGAGGUCAAGAAGUAGGGUAUCUGACAGAUGAUUACAGCCCUACUAUAGCAAGUCAACUCAUCAUGUGUGGGAGUUACUAUCACCCUCAUCUAAUUUCGGACUCUUUUCUUUCGUGAAAUAAGAAACAACGGUUUCUACUAGAUAGUACUAACUCCUGUCGCUUGAUCAUUCUCCUCUCCAGGUAAAUCAAGUGCCACAGGGUUUUGUUGUCGCGUUGGAUUCCAAGCAUUUCUGGUGCUUCCUACGGAGAGCUGAUCAAACCUGCUGUCCCCCGAAUAGGAGCAAAUUGUGGACAUUUCCCUGUCAAAGACGCAGACUUAUUUGAUUCCAAGAUCAGGCACUAUCCUUUGUCGAAAAAUUCUUGUAGUAUGUAAUCAUAUGAGCGUUUGUUCUUGUUCAUACAACUUGUCUCUUGAUAUCAGACACUUGAAUUCUUCUCGUAUGUAUUCACUGUGAGUAUUAUUCGAUCUCCAAGUCCCAAGAACUGCUCUCAUCUCUACACUGGUCGACCACCAUCAAGACUCACAAAAGUUAACGUGCCUUGUAACAAAACAUGCAAAGACUAUAUGUAUCGCUGAUAUCUGUAGAGCCCUCCUGAGAGAAAAAACAAUGCAGAUUGAUCUUGUAUGGAUAGAUUCAUAACCUAGAUGAAAUGAUGUGGAUGCUUGUGGUUGUCUCGUUAGGAACAGAAGAGGUUUGAUCCAGUUGGUGAAACAGUGCAGUAACAAAAGCCAUGAGAUUCUUUCGAGUCUAAAAGGCAAGUGCAUGGUGCUGUUGUUAGAUAUGUUUGUGAUCAUAGGAAUA